AUUCUGGCUCAGGAUGAACGCUGGCGGCGUGCUUAACACAUGCAAGUCGAACGGGAUCCAUCAAGCUUGCUUGGUGGUGAGAGUGGCGAACGGGUGAGUAAUGCGUGACCGACCUGCCCCAUACACCGGAAUAGCUCCUGGAAACGGGUGGUAAUGCCGGAUGCUCCAGUUGAUCGCAUGGUCUUCUGGGAAAGCUUUCGCGGUAUGGGAUGGGGUCGCGUCCUAUCAGCUUGACGGCGGGGUAACGGCCCACCGUGGCUUCGACGGGUAGCCGGCCUGAGAGGGCGACCGGCCACAUUGGGACUGAGAUACGGCCCAGACUCCUACGGGAGGCAGCAGUGGGGAAUAUUGGGCAAUGGGCGCAAGCCUGACCCAGCAACGCCGCGUGAAGGAAGAAGGCUUUCGGGUUGUAAACUUCUUUUGUCGGGGACGAGUAGAAGACGGUACCUGGCGAAUAAGCCACGGCUAACUACGUGCCAGCAGCCGCGGUAAUACGUAGGUGGCAAGCGUUGUCCGGAUUUACUGGGUGUAAAGGGAGCGCAGGCGGGACUGCAAGUUGGAUGUGAAAUACCGUGGCUUAACCACGGAACUGCAUCCAAAACUGUAGUUCUUGAGUGAAGUAGAGGCAAGCGGAAUUCCGAGUGUAGCGGUGAAAUGCGUAGAUAUUCGGAGGAACACCAGUGGCGAAGGCGGCUUGCUGGGCUUUAACUGACGCUGAGGCUCGAAAGUGUGGGGAGCAAACAGGAUUAGAUACCCUGGUAGUCCACACUGUAAACGAUGAUAGCUAGGUGUGGGGGGUCUGACCCCUUCCGUGCCGGAGUUAACGCAAUAAGCUAUCCACCUGGGGAGUACGACCGCAAGGUUGAAACUCAAAGGAAUUGACGGGGGCCCGCACAAGCAGUGGAGUAUGUGGUUUAAUUCGACGCAACGCGAAGAACCUUACCAAGUCUUGACAUCCUGCGACGCACAUAGAAAUAUGUGUUUCCUUCGGGACGCAGAGACAGGUGGUGCAUGGUUGUCGUCAGCUCGUGUCGUGAGAUGUUGGGUUAAGUCCCGCAACGAGCGCAACCCCUAUUGUUAGUUGCUACGCAAGAGCACUCUAGCGAGACUGCCGUUGACAAAACGGAGGAAGGUGGGGACGACGUCAAAUCAUCAUGCCCCUUAUGACCUGGGCUACACACGUACUACAAUGGAUGUUAACAGAGGGAAGCAAGACAGCGAUGUGGAGCAAACCCCUAAAAACAUUCUCAGUUCAGAUUGCAGGCUGCAACCCGCCUGCAUGAAGAUGGAAUUGCUAGUAAUCGCGGAUCAGCAUGCCGCGGUGAAUACGUUCCCGGGCCUUGUACACACCGCCCGUCACACCAUGAGAGUCGGGAACACCCGAAGUCCGUAGCCUAACCGCAAGGAGGGCGCGGCCGAAGGUGGGUUCGAUAAUUGGGGUGAAGUCGUAACAAGGUAGCCGUUCGAGAACGAGCGGCUG
rnacentral:rRNA from 1 species